ACACACACUUGGCCACUGAAACAACGGACGAAUCGUUCACGUAGCGAACGCAACCGCCAAUCGAUCCCUGCAACUUCGCAUCCACCGAUCUACUCGACGCCGUACUUCUUCUUGAGGACGCCGACGAAGUCGUAGACCUUCUCCGGCGAGGGGAGGUGCUUGACGACGGAGUCGAUCCGGCCGCACCGCCGCGCCCACGCCGCCAGCCUCGGCGCCACCUCCUCCACGCUGAACCCGCCGCACCUCUCGUAGCUGUAGAACCACGCCGUGAACGGCACGAGCGCGACGUCGACGAACCCGAGCCUGCCGCCGCCGCCGCCGCCGAAGAACUCCCGGUCGCCGAGCUCCGCCUCCAGCGUGCGGAGGAUCUCCGCCAUCUCGCGCCCCGCCGCCGCCUGCGGCUCACCCUUGAGCCUCCACAGCCUGGACCCGCAGUCGUAGAGCUUCCUGUCGACGUAGUCCGCCCAGAACCUCGCCGUGGCGCGCGCGUACGCGGCGUCGGCGUCGCCGGAGUUCGCCGGAGGGAGGAGGUGGGGGGUGCCGGGGAACGCGUCGUCGAGGUACUGGAGGAUGACGAGGGACUCGGAGACGGGGCGGCCGGCGUGGAGGAGGACGGGGAUCUUCCUGUGGACGGGGUUGGAGCGGAGGAGGAGGUCGCUCUUGUUGCCGAGGUCCUCCUCGCGGUACUCGAACUCCAGCCCCUUCUCCGCCAUGGCGAUCCGGCACCGCUGCCCGAACGGGCUCACCCAGAAAUCGAGCAGCACCAGCUCCUUCUCCUCCGCCAUGGCUAUAGCUUUUCAACUAGAGACCGAGUUGUG
rnacentral:lncRNA from 1 species